UACGUAGGGGGCGAGCGUUGUCCGGAAUCAUUGGGCGUAAAGAGCGCGUAGGCGGUCCGAUAAGUCGGCUGUGAAAGUCAGGGGCUCAACCCUUGAAAGCCGGCCGAUACUGUCGGACUAGAGUCCGGAAGAGGCAAGUGGAAUUCCCGGUGUAGCGGUGAAAUGCGCAGAUAUCGGGAGGAACACCAAUGGCGAAGGCAGCUUGCUGGGACGGUACUGACGCUGAGGCGCGAAAGCGUGGGGAGCAAACAGGG
rnacentral:rRNA from 1 species